rnacentral:rRNA from 1 species
GACGAACCGUACGAACGUUAUUCGGAAUCACUGGGCUUAAAGGGUGCGUAGGCUGCGCGGAAAGUUGGGUGUGAAAUCCCUCGGCUUAACCGAGGAACUGCGCCCAAAACUACUGUGCUUGAGGGAGACAGAGGUGAGCGGAACUUAGGGUGGAGCGGUGAAAUGCGUUGAUAUCCUAAGGAACACCGGUGGCGAAAGCGGCUCACUGGGUCUCUUCUGACGCUGAGGCACGAAAGCUAGGGUAGCGAACGGG